CCUGGAUCCGGAGCUGUGCAGGGAGCAGCUGCCACCGCCCGGGAAUGUCACCCCCCUUGCUUGGAGCCCCUGCAGGGCCUCCGCUGGCCUUGGGUAGUGGACGGCCAGUGCCCCACUGGGCUUCUAGCUGAAGCCCUGCCCAGCCCCUGGGUCUGCGCUCCCUCUUUUCCUCCCCACCCCAAGUUCCCUCACCCUAUGGAGGCUUCUCAGCAGAGAGCAAUGCAGGACUGAGCAGGGAAGAUCUGUCUGCAUUGCAAGUGCCCUCAGGAGGAGCACAUGGUGACAGUGAUGCCCCUGGAGAUGGAGAAGACUGUCAGCAAACUCAUGUUUGACUUCCAGAGGAACUCAACCUCGGACGACGACUCGGGCUGUGCCUUGGAGGAAUAUGCCUGGGUUCCGCCAGGUCUGAAGCCUGAACAGGUUCACCAGUACUAUAGCUGUCUCCCAGAAGAGAAAGUUCCUUAUGUCAACAGUCCUGGAGAGAAACUGCGAAUCAAACAGCUAUUGCACCAGCUGCCACCACAUGACAAUGAGGUUCGGUAUUGCAACUCCCUGGAUGAGGAAGAGAAGAGGGAGCUGAAGCUAUUCAGUAACCAGAGGAAGCGUGAAAACCUGGGUCGUGGAAAUGUCAGGCCCUUCCCAGUCACCAUGACAGGAGCUAUAUGUGAGCAGUGUGGAGGGCAGAUUAAUGGCGGAGACAUCGCUGUGUUCGCGUCUCGUGCAGGCCACGGUGUCUGCUGGCACCCACCGUGCUUCAUAUGCACCGUCUGCAAUGAGCUCCUGGUGGACCUGAUCUACUUUUACCAAGAUGGGAAGAUAUACUGUGGCAGGCACCAUGCCGAGUGCCUGAAGCCGCGCUGUGCCGCGUGCGACGAGAUCAUUUUUGCAGAUGAAUGCACAGAAGCAGAGGGGCGGCAUUGGCACAUGAAACAUUUCUGCUGCUUCGAGUGUGAGACCGUGCUGGGUGGCCAGCGCUACAUCAUGAAGGAGGGAAGGCCUUACUGUUGCCAAUGCUUCGAGUCGUUGUAUGCGGAAUAUUGCGACACUUGUGCUCAACACAUAGGCAUUGACCAAGGUCAGAUGACCUAUGAUGGACAACACUGGCAUGCCACUGAGACCUGUUUCUGCUGUGCUCACUGCAAAAAAUCCCUCCUGGGCCGCCCAUUCCUCCCGAAGCAGGGCCAGAUAUUCUGUUCACGGGCCUGCAGUGCCGGGGAGGACCCCAAUGGCUCUGAUUCAUCUGAUUCAGCCUUCCAGAACGCCAGGGCCAAGGAGUCCCGGCGCAGCGCCAAAAUCGGCAAGAACAAGGGCAAGACGGAGGAGCCCAUGCUGAACCAGCACAGCCAGCUGCAGCUGAGCUCUAACCGACUGUCAGCUGACGUGGACCCUCUGUCGAUGCAAAUGGACCUGCUCAGUCUGUCCAGCCAGACACCCAGCCUCAACCGGGACCCCAUCUGGAGGAGCCGGGAGGAACCCUACCAUUAUGGCAACAAGAUGGAGCAGAACCAGUCCCAGAGUCCUUUGCAGCUCCUCAGCCAGUGCAACAUCAGAACUUCCUACAGCCCAGGAGGUCAAGGGGCUGGGGCCCAGCCUGACAUGUGGGCCAAGCACUUCAGCAACCCCAAAAGGAGCUCCUCACUGGCCAUGAAGGGUCAUGGCGGCAGCUUCAUCAAGGAAUGCCGGGAGGACUACUACCCAGGAAGGCUCAGAUCCCAGGAGAGCUACAGUGACAUGUCCAGUCAGAGCUUUAGUGAAACCCGCGGCAACAUCCAAGUCCCCAAAUACGAGGAGGAGGAGGAAGGGGGCCUGUCCAGUCAGCAGUGCCGGACCCGUCACCCAAUCAGUUCCCUGAAAUACACUGAGGAUAUGACACCCACAGAGCAGACCCCUCGGGGCUCCAUGGAAUCGCUGGCCCUCUCAAACACAACAGGGCUCUCCGCGGAUGGUGGCGCCAAGCGCCAGGAGCACCUAUCCCGGUUUUCCAUGCCCGACCUCAGCAAAGACUCCGGAAUGAAUGUCUCCGAGAAGUUGAGCAACAUGGGUACCCUGAAUUCAUCCAUGCAGUUCCGGAGCGCAGAGUCAGUCCGCAGCCUGCUCUCUGCCCAACAGUAUCAGGAGAUGGAAGGAAACCUCCAUCAGCUCGGCAACCCCAUUGGCUACAGAGACUUGCAGUCACACGGAAGGAUGCACCAGAGCUUUGAUUUUGAUGGGGGCAUGGCAGGCAGCAAGCUGCCAGGGCAGGAGGGCGUGAGGAUCCAGCCGAUGAGCGAGCGCACACGUCGGAGAACUACUUCCCGCGAUGACAACCGCCGCUUCCGACCUCACCGGUCCCGGCGUUCCCGACGCUCUCGCUCCGACAACGCCCUCCACCUGGCCAGUGAACGCGAGGCCAUCUCGCGGUUAAAAGAAAGGCCCCCGCUAAGAGCCAGGGAGGACUAUGACCAAUUCAUGCGCCAGCGGAGCUUCCAGGAGAGCCUGGGCCAAGGGUCCCGAAGGGACCUGUAUGGCCAGUGCCCAAGGACUGUGUCGGAUCUGGCUUUGCAGAACGCCUUCGGGGAGCGGUGGGGACCAUACUUCGCCGAGUACGAUUGGUGCUCCACCUGUUCCUCCUCUUCUGAGUCUGACAACGAGGGCUAUUUCCUAGGAGAACCGAUCCCCCAGCCCGCCCGCCUGCGAUACGUCACCAGUGAUGAGCUCCUGCACAAAUACAGCUCCUACGGCCUCCCCAAGUCUUCCACGCUAGGUGGCAGGGGACAGUUGCACAGCAGGAAAAGACAGAAGAGCAAAAACUGUAUCAUUUCUUAAUCUGGGUGGAGGUCAGGGAAUGGGGGAAGAUGGGAGCGAAGAAUGUAAAUUCAGAAACUUGCACUGUUUUCAAUGUUCAAGCGCUUCUGGGUGUGGUUACAGGGGAGAAAAGGAGAAAUGCUCUCGUUGAUGGAGGCAAGGUCACAGAUUGACUUGUAGUCGCAGUUCUUGGCAUGUCGAAUAUUAUUUGCACAUUUCACUUCGGAAAUGCUAUAGACGCUAUGAGGCCAGGUCACCUCCUUCCCUCUGUGUUGUUGCCACUCGCAAGAUGGCAAAUUGUUUCUUGCUCGCUUAUAGCCUCUCUGGUUCUCUUCCUUUUAGGAUCCCUUUUCCAGUAAGUAAUUUCUUUAUUAGCCAGGACCCAAGACUAAGUUAUUUACAUGUCCACUGUAAAUGCAAUGUAAAUGAGAGUUCUGAUAAAAUAUUUUUGUAUUUUGUAAUAUCAGAGGAAUUUCUAUAUCGUAGGACUCAGUGGAGACUUGCAUGCAUAUCCAGCAUUGUCUUUCAGUAGUAUUCAGAGGUGGUCCAGGACCACCUUCCCUCCCUCCCCCCUUUUUUUCUAUACAAAUUUGUUACAUGUCAGUGAGACUUUUUUUCAAAGGCGUUUAUUCAAUUUGGCUUUUUGUGGUUAAAAAAAAGAAAACAAACUCUAAAACCUAAAGCUUCUUAGGCUCCAUUCCACCUCCAGGAGCCGUCCCUAAGUCUGCCCCCACCCUCCGUAGAAUUUAUUCUCUACAAAGUGAUAGUAAUAUUUUUAAAAAUUGCAAACGUAACUCUUGCCAAUUAGAGAAACCAAUCGGUGUCAGUAGAGUCCCGUGAGAAAUGCUCUCCCUGGUGGGGACAUUGAAGUUGCUUACUAUUAUUGAUCUAUCCCUUGGGGAAAUAAAAGUGACUGUGAGUGGUGCCGUUGUGUGAUGUCAGCAUGACGUUGUUUUGAGUGUAGCAUUAUUUUCUGGUGCUCAUGUUUCCUGGAUUGUAUUAUCUGCUUUCCUUUACCAAGGCAGACAUACUGCUGCCUUACAGCCUGACAACCGGUUGUCCUCAGUGCAAAUGAACUUCAACAUUCGGAAUUUAGGGACAGGAAGGUUCUGAGGGGCUCUGGAGUGCCCGUGUGUUCAGGUUGGAAUGUCAUGCAUGGAGAAGGAACAAAGUAAUUGGAAAACAGCUGGUCAAGGGUAGAAGCUGAAGGGGAAUAUGAAGGAAGAGCAAGGCAAAGAAGAACUUUCUGGAAGUGAAGUAGACGUGCUGACUUCCACGGUGAAUAGCUCCUAGUGUUUGUAGGAAGAAUCCAGCUUAACACACUCCAUGGCCAGAGUAUCUGGGUAACAGAUUGUGGCCAUUGAACUAACCCACCUGAGGACCCACCUUUAGUGAGAUGUACUGUCGCUGUGUACAUGGUGUAGCUCAGUGACCAUCUGCCAUGGUGAGGUGAGCGUGGUCUCUUUUCAGUAUAGUAGUUAAUAUUUUCUAGCGUUUUUUUUUUAUGGCGAGAAUGUGAAAAGUGGCUUUUCAGACACCAUUUCAAUUGGGUCUGGGGGAAGGAAGGCUGUAAAGGACAUGGAAAUGGCACUGCAUUCAGGAUGUAUUAAAAUAAUUUGCUUUUCAGGUAUUAAUAUGACAUUUGUCAUUGUCACUGAUUUUUUAAAAAGCAAUGCAAAUGUUGGUUGUGGCUGUUUUCCGCAUGCUAUCUUCAUAUCUAAAUGCUUCAUUAAUUAUCCAAGCCUCUGGAGAAUUAACUCUAUUAUGUUUGUAUAGUAAGUUUGUAAACUGCUUGGCAAACUGAUUAAGAAACAAUGUGCAACAUCAUGCUACUAAAGUGGCAGGUUUCUGGUAGAACUAUGGUGAGUUCAAUUGUGGAAUUUUACAUUCCUUUGAUUGAUGAGAAUAAAACGGCAUUUUAGAAAGAGGAAAAAAAGUAGAUCACUCAACUUAGCAAACAGCUAAAAAUAACUUCUGUUCUCUGUGGCCCAGAAUCCAGUGAAAGAAAUUCUCCUCCUAAAUGUUGCUUUCGAACUCUGUCCUUUUCAGAGUACCUCUUACAUUUCCCCUUUGAGGCUUUAACCACCAUCAGCAGAAGGAAGAAGGCGGCCUAGAAACUGACAUUUAACCAGUGCCCACAGGGAUCUGGAGAAAUGCACAAUUUCAGUAGCUUCCCAGAGAGGAUCUGGCAGCUGAACUGGGUUAGAGUUUGAGCUAUAAUGAGAUCCAAGCCUCAGGGUCAAUUUGUCUACAAGCAAGACCGCCUCCAAUUAUUGCACCACUGCAGAUUUCUCCUCACUACUGCGCCCCACGUGCAGCCAGGAAAUGCUGGAGGAGGUGGGCUAAGUCUGCGGGCCUGGCCGCACCUUGUACUGGGAGGUCAGUCAAUGAUCAUUUACCCAGGCGCCCCAGGAUUCCUGUCCCAGCAAGCCAGUGUGUUCUCCCUGAGACCAAUAUUCAGGAACCUUACCUGAUUCCUUCAUAGUCAGCUUCAGCAGUUCUUGGACAAGUUUUGCUGUGAGUGGAGCCCAUACUGUCUUCUUCUGAGAUGAUCAUUUCAUCCUCAGUGGACUCUACUCCAGAGAGGUAAUCUUGCCCAGUUUCCUCUCUUUUCUAAUGCCACAUAGCUAUUUUGUCCUGACUUUCCUCGUACUCAUCAUUAUCUUGUCUGUUGGCAAAAAUCACAACUUUGGACUUCAAUUCAUUUCCUAUUGCUCCUCAAUUUCAUGGCCAAAGAACUGGCUCUUUCCCAAGUGUAAGUCACAGUUUCCUGAAAGGCUCUGCCAGUGCACCCCACCCCUGAUACUGUGUGCAGGUUUCUUAGCAGGAUGAGUGCCAUCGGGCAUGGCAUUCAAGUACCCUUCCUCUGCCCUGCAGUUCUGGGCUCUCUACCAAGUGUGAAGAUGAAUGAAGUGAGGGAAAUCGGAGCCCUGUUUCCUGGUUUUGCACAAGUUUGAGAAUCCCUAGUGUUGAUUGUUUGACACCUUCUUUCCACAUCACCUUUAGUGUCUUUUCCACCCUGAAGCCGUCCAGUGAAUAAGCAACUCAUUUCCAGUAGGAGACCUGCAAGCGGCUCUUUCUCGGCCCCUUUUCCCUUUCGGUCGGGUGCUCCUGCACGACCAGAUUCGAUUUCCUCUUCUGCAGCUGCUUCCCAUGGCUUGGGUACCACUCGCCUUGGUUGAGAUCAGGUAGGGUCAGUGAUCACAUCCCUGAAACCUGGGCCGGUAUAACCGGUAGUUACGGUAUACUUCCCCAGAGAGCAUGGACACAACCUCAGAGAGAUCUGUGACCCUCUCACCAGCUAAGACCCCUUGAUCAGAGCUGAUCCUGUUUGUCUAAUGAUAACUCUUAUUUGUAAACUGAUUCCUUUUUGUCUUUCUAUCCUGGGCUUUUAGCCAUUGGCCAAAAACUUCUAUUGAGGAUGUGUGAGUCAACAAUGAAUUGUGAGGUGGCAGUCCCUGUACCCCCAGACUGCAGAUUCCAAAGGCGGCUGACUUCUUUAGCCCAAACAAAGACCAAUCUCCUUUUCUAUGUUUGUGUUCUUUGCCAGUUAUUAUAGACUGCCUCCUGUUCAUCCUUUGCAGAAGUCAGAUAAGAACCCAUCUUUUUCUUCAUCUAAUUCCAUCUUCUAACAAGAAAUAACACAGAUAUUUAAAUUCUAAGGAGAAGUGCUCUUUGUGUAUUUCUGUCUAACAGAAACCAGAUGCUAGUACACAAAGAGGAUCUAUCUAUGACAAAAGAAAGCAGAAGACGGAACCAGUUAUCUAAAUAGCCCAUGCCAGAAGAGUUGCUGUGAGCAACUGUUAGCAUCCUCAGGGCUUUCAAAAUGGGUUUCUGGAGGUAGCAUUGCAGGUGUCGGACCAGCUGAGCCACUGCAGGGCCUGGGGGGGUGGGCGGUGAAGGCAGUUUCAGAUGGCCGCCUGUUGAGGGACGAUUCCUUAAGCACAAAAAGAAUGGAAAUGAAGAGCGCUUUGCCUUGCCUGCAGUAGCUGGUCCCUCUGGGGCCUCUGCAGACACCAGGGCUUCUUUGUCUGACCAUUUGGAAGCAGUCAUUAAGGUUAGGAUCAGGGUAGAAUUGGAUUCUUUUUCCAUUUUCUCAUCAUAAUAACCCAGUCAACGCAGGACACCCAUAAAACAUGACUCACCGUUGGGAGCCAUUCUGUUUUAUAAGCUUACUUCCUGUUGCAAAACUUGCUUUCCCCAGGAGUUCUUAAAAGGAAGGGGGAAAGUCAUAUAGUGUGAGGGAAGUAUUUCUGUGAUUUAGAUACAAUAAAUCUGUAGGACAGAAAAAAAAAAAAUACUGUCUCAUUCUCUCCUGGGAGUUUUCUGAGACGUUCCUUCACUGCACUGGGCAUUUAGUCAUUGAGGUUCAAUAAGUUGCUAACCAAGCUUUUCCAAAUUUUUCAGAGAGAAUUACUCAUCAGUAACUCCUGAAACUUACCUAGUCGGUUUCCAUAUUUUUCCAUAAAGCAUCUGGAUUCUACCAUGACCCACACUUAACAUUCUAAAUUUUACAAGUCUCCUCCAUUUUUCUUAGCCAAUUCAGACUUGGCAGUUUUCCCUCUCCUAAACACAUCCUGUAUGGGACUGGUCUGCCCAUCUCCCGCUUUAAUUCCAAGUACGAGGUAAACAAAACCUCCAAGGACCCAUGCCGUGAGGCGCCCGAUGGCGAGUGGUCAGCUAUUUGUCAAGGUCUGCAACAGGCCUUUGGUGUGGGCUCUGCCAGAGACUGUUGUGAACACUUUGCUUGAGAUCUGUGCCCUGUAAAAUGGAUAUGAUGUUUUACUGAUGUCUGUAAUACAUUUGUAAACUUCCAAUAAAAUUUGAAUAAAAGAAAUA